AUACUGAUGGCCACUAUUAGGAAGGGAACGUAAAGUAGCCAGGUCCACCUCUGUUUAGUUAGUUUAUAUAAGGCAGGUAUAAUACUUUAGAGAUUGUAAUUGUUACAGUGGAACUUCUUGGUUACUAGAGCACCAGGCAAAAUACUUGAUGGAUCUGGAUCUCUGAAGGCAAAGCAAUUCUGUUAAGAUAAAAUUGACUGAUAUAUAUGACUUAGAACUUCUUAAAAUUGUGUGUGUGAUAUGCAAAGAGCAUUGUUUUCUAUGCAGAUGGCCUUUCUGGACCAACUUUUGAAUAAUUUAUGGUACUUUUUCCUGUUUUGAAAGGAAAACUUUCCUACUUGCAUAGACCUGCUAAUGUGGAUGAUCCUUAGAUUUUGGCAUGAGUGGUUGUGAAUCAUAUUCAAAGAAAACCUGUUCUCUCAUAUUUCCUUAAGUAAAGUUGAUGGCUACUUUUGCAAGGCAGAGUUGAUGACUCUGAAACGAGGAGAGAAUUUAACCACUCAGUUUUCUGACAUGUCACUGGAUCCUACCCAGUAGUAUCAGAAGGAAGCUGAAAAUGGUGUUAGCUGCACUUAGGACAAACAAAAAUCAUUCCAGGUAAAAUAACCUUGUAAAGAAAAGUUAUAGUGUAUUAUAGAGGCCUUGGCUAGGUUCAUGAUGACAAAGGACCUUGUCUGAACAUAAUGAUUUCAAAACUUGAGCUUAAAUGACACUCUGAAAUCUAGUCAAUGUGCCUCAGUAGACUUUUCGUAGAACAUUAUUUUCAACAGAUAUUUUGACUUACUGUGGAACUUUGAAUACUUAGAAAUGUCAGGUGUAAAUUGGCAGUAUACAUUGCCAAUUCUUCAGACAUAUUUUUUUAAGUUUUCAUAAGAUAUUCUGAGCUCAUUAUUUUUCCCUUCUUUUUAAACAUGUAUGCUGUUGAAAGCAAAAAAGGAAACUCAUCCUUAAAUCCCAGAAGGUACACACACAUGCUGAGAUGGAAGCAAGGACAUGUCAAAGGGAGACGACCACCUCUUCGAUAAAACAUAGAAUGCCAGAAUUAGUGAUGUCCAGGAAAGAGGGGAACUCAUAUUUGUGGAACAUGUAUUAUAAAAUGCAGUGAGUAUGGGGUGAGAGGAUCUCUCCUGCUUAAUUGAGAUGAUGAAGGACCAAUAGGAGAGCAGUUUUUGAAAUCCAGUUCCAAGGAUAUAUUUGUUUUAGAUGUGAAUGUUGAUUAAUGACUUCAGGUGUUAAAUGCAGCAAGUCCAUCUAUGCCAAAAUGGCCAUUAUGAAUAGUUUGUGAGUGAUCAUGAAGAACGUGUGAUUUAGAGACUAGUACAGCAGAGUUUUAUACACUGAAACAGUAUUGUGGGAUACACGAAAAGAAUAUGGGAGAAGAUGGGAUAUGAGAAGUACAUGAUGAAAAGAAGAGAUUUAUAGAUAACCUGAGGACAACUGACAUCAGGAAUAUCCCUCAUGCUAUGGACUUCUUUAAUGUAAAAGUGUUAACUGGGAACAAUAGGAGGUGAUAGUUUCAUGAAAACACACUUCCGCCCUCCUGGUUUGUAAUUCCAAGAAUUGGUAUCAUCAGACCUCUCACUGGCAGUAUUCAUUCAACGUUUCUUCAUCUCUGAUCUCUGUUUCCACAAAUACCCCUUGGAGAAAUUACUGUGGUGACUAAACAGAAAAACUGAUGCUAUUGCUUCUGCCACCAUCUUCAAAUCCAAAAAACAGUCUUAAUAAUGUAUGGAGACUUCUGUUUCAUGUGUUGGAGUGGAUACUCCUCGCAGAUCAGAAAAAAAUGGACUGGGAAAACUCAAGUUUGAAAAUUACUAGAGUGUCAUUGGAGGGAAUUGUAACCAGGCAUGUUGACUGUUUUCAUAAUUGACAUUGGACUAAAUCUCAGGAGCUUGAAUGGUGGAGAUGUUAUUACCCAGAGAGGUUCAGUAUGAUCUUAAAUAGUACAAACAUUACAUUUCGGAGUUUUAAUCUUUGACAAUGUGGUGUUACAAAAAACUGCUUUUAUUCUCUUAAACUGUUCAGUUCAGUCAUCUUCAUAUAUCCUUAAAACUUAUUAGUCACUUAUUUUUUCAUUUUCCUCUGUUGUUUUUUUCAUUUCCCUCAGAAUAUUAGUGUUUUUGUAAUGGUUUCUAAGAUGAUUUAUGACUUAAGUAUGUUAGUAUGUUAACCAUUUGUCAUGCAUUGCAAAUUUCAUACUGUAUGUUCUCAUCACCAUUUUAUUGUGAUGUUUUGGUUGUACAAAAGUUGUGUUUUCAAAUAUAAUGCUCUGCUUUAUGCCUUUUGAGUUCUGUGUUUUUAUUCAGAUAUGUGUCCAUCACUCUCAUGCAUUCUUUGUAUUCUGUUUUUUGUCACUCUGUCAUUUCAUUUUUUCUGUUAAUUGUUACUGUGGUUUUAAACCAUUACCCAGUCAAAUUAUUUACCUUGAUUUAAGCAAUUAUCACUUAGCUAAAUGCUACCAUAGUUACUUAGAAAUUCCCACAUAGAAUCAUCUGCAUCUCUAUGUGUUUGCCUUACUGUCUUUUGAUACUUUAAAGUUACUGAUGAUUUUGUCUAUUCCAUUGAGAUCUAUCUCAUUUCUCUUUUUUUUUUCAGAAUAUUGUCUUUCUAUAGUCGCAUUUUUUUCUCUCAAUUGAUGCUUAAAAUUACUUUGCAAGUUGGAAAAAAAUGCAGUUUUAAUUUCAUUGCACCAAAUUUAAUAGAUUAGGAGAGAAUAGAUGUCUUUAAAAGUGAGUCUUCCUAUCAAUCUGCAAGUUUUAACUGAGGUGUUACCAGCUUAAGAACUGAGACAUUUUAGAUGCUUCAAUAUCUGACAUUUCUAUAUCAAUCCAAAUUCUUGUACUUAUUUCUCAUUUCUGUGGACUUCGUUCUUCAAAAGUACUGCAUGUUUCAUAAGCAAGGAUCAAAGAAACUGUCUACAGGUGUUGAACAUAUGUACAAGAGGACCAUCAAUACCUUCUGCAGUGGUACCAUGCACAGCAUCACCUAUUUCCUGUCAUUAUUUCCACUUUUGGAAGCUCAUUGCAUCUUUAUAUCUCAAAAGGCACAAGUUUUAUAUAUGUACCACCAGGAAUAGAAGUGAUCUUCUUUUUGGCAAGUAAUUGCCCAGAAUGUUAAGUACUUUUUUGUUCUCUGAAUAUAUCUUAUGCUUUCCUCUAUUGUUGUUUACCUCAUUGAUUUUUUUUCCCCCUCUAUGUUUUUCCAUUAGAAGCGGGAAUAAGAUUUAUGUGUGGUAUAUAUAAUUAAUGCAAUCCUAUGGACAUCUUGGUCACACUAAAGCAUUCUAAUCAGGCUUUGUCACAAGCCUGCCAUAGGCCAGUUUGGAUACUAUUUGUAAAAUACUUUAUUUCUCAUUUGAAUCAUGAGCCCACAGUUUUUAGAGAGGUCCCCAAAAUAGAUCCUUUUAAAACAUUUGUGUUACAUGCAAAUAGACCAUUUAUAGUUUGACUUCUUAUGGCACCUACUAGGUCUCCCUCUAGAACAGGAUCUGAGCCUGAUUAUAGUUGAUGUUUUCCUUAGCACCCUAAUUUAAGACUCAGAUGCUAUCACAAUUCCAGCUAUGUAAGGAAGAUCCAGACUGUAGAACACACAGUUCUAUCAUUUUAUUGCCAUCACUGGAACUGGACCAAAAAACCCAAGCCAUGAAGAUAUUUUACUUUCAUUCACAUUAUUCUGAUUUUCAUUUGUUUUCUGUUUAACCAAAAUGGGCUUAAUAUAAAUGGCUGUGUUUUUUGGAAGUUUUAACUGAGUUUUCUGGAGCAUAAACUACACUGUCAUCAGAGAACUACUAAGUGCAUUGCCCAGCCUGUCUCAAUAGACAAGUUUGACCCCUAGUACAUUGAAUCAGGGCCAUAAGGGAUGAAUUGGUUAUUAAACAAUUUAGAACAAAAUGUGGUCAUUCAUCCUCUUUCAUUCCUACUUCUUCUUUUUUUUGGAGUUUUUUUUAUUAAUUUAUUUAUUUUCAGCAUAACAGUAUUCAUUAUU